rnacentral:rRNA from 1 species
UACAGAGGUGGCAAGCGUUGUUCGGCAUUACUGGGCGUAAAGGGCGCGUAGGCGGUUCUGUAAGUCCCGCGUGCAAUCCCCCGGCUCAACUGGGGAACUGCGCGGGAAACUGUGGGGCUAGAGUUCAGGAGAGGGAAGCGGAAUUCCGGGUGUAGCGGUGAAAUGCGUAGAUAUCCGGAGGAACACCGGUGGCGAAGGCGGCUUCCGGGACUGACACUGACGCUGAGGCGCGAAAGCUAGGGGAGCAAACGGG